rnacentral:RNase_P_RNA from 1 species
AUAGCAAGCCGUCUUAUCGCUGCGCCGCGAGGCGGAGAGGAAAGUCCGGGCAACACAGAGCAGUCUACUUCCUAACGGGAAGGAUUCCGGCAAAAUCCGGGAUACAGCCAGUGCCACAGAAAAUAACCGCCGGUACAGUUACAUUUACCAGGCACCAUUUACCAAAACUUGGUCAUUGGAAAAUGGUACCUGGUAAAUGUAACUGUACCGGUAAGGGUGAAAAGGUGCGGUAAGAGCGCACCAGUACGCGGGCGACCGUUGUAGCUGGGUAAACCUUAGGCGUUGAAAGACCAAAUAGGCUGGCAGCUCAUUUAGCUUAGAUUAUCUUUUUCCCGGUUAUUGCGGUAAUUGGUAAAGGAUAUCUGGUAAAAGAUAAGGGCGGCUCGUCCGAUGCCAGUGGGUAGGUUGAUGGAGCCCCGCCGCGAGGUGGGGCCUAGAUAAAUGGUAAGACGUUCGGGAGCUUGCUUCCGAAUGACAGAACCCGGCUUACAGGCUUGCUAUAUUU